rnacentral:rRNA from 1 species
AAAGAAACCAACAGGGAUUGCCCCAGUAACGGCGAGUGAAGCGGCAACAGCUCAAAUUUGAAAUCUGGCCCCCAGGGCCCGAGUUGUAAUUUGCAGAGGAUGCUUUUGGCGCGGUGCCUUCCGAGUUCCCUGGAACGGGACGCCAUAGAGGGUGAGAGCCCCGUCUGGUCGGACGCCUAGCCUGUGUAAAGCUCCUUCGACGAGUCGAGUAGUUUGGGAAUGCUGCUCUAAAUGGGAGGUAUAUGUCUUCUAAAGCUAAAUACCGGCCAGAGACCGAUAGCGCACAAGUAGAGUGAUCGAAAGAUGAAAAGCACUUUGAAAAGAGGGUUAAAUAGUACGUGAAAUUGUUGAAAGGGAAGCGCUUGUGACCAGACUUGGGCCCGGUGGAUCAUCCAGCGUUCUCGCUGGUGCACUCCGCCGGGUUCAGGCCAGCAUCAGUUCGCCGCGGGGGAAAAAGGCUUCGGGAACGUGGCUCCUACGGGAGUGUUAUAGCCCGUUGCAUAAUACCCUGGGGCGGACUGAGGUUCGCGCUCCGCUAGGAUGCUGGCGUAAUGGUCAUCA